rnacentral:misc_RNA from 1 species
AAUCGAUCCCCGCUUCGAUCAGCGCCGACGCUUCAAUGAUUUGCUGCCGCCAGGUCUCGGCGCGCACGCCAAGCAAACCCUUCAGAUGCCGCAACGCUUGACGGCGCUGACGAUCGGUGUCGGCGUGGAUCAGAUCGUCGAGACCUUCGGCUUCGGUCAGAUCGAGCUUGCCGUUCUCGAACGCCCGGCGCGUGAACUCGCCCGGCUCCGCGGGACGCAAGCCGUCGAUAGAUCCAAGCGCAUCGAACAUCGCCGCA